UAGAACCUACGGGAGAGUGUAUAAUCACAUUUGUUAUUUAAAGUAAAUAAACUGAACCUCACAUUAAAAGCUUUAACCCAGCCGUUGCAAUCACAAAAGGGCAAAGAGUGGCUUUAACAAACAUUACCUCGGGCACAGAAUGUGAUAGAGUGUAUUACUAGUUCACAACUUUUUGUUCCCUUCCAUCCUGGCAACAUUUCCUGUAGGCAUAGUGUAUUUCUCUACAGCGGUGACUCUGCACUUGACCACGCGACUUUCUUUGGCCAAGGGAGCAGAAGCUUUAAGGAUCUCAGUGAGUUCCAGGACCUUGAAAAGAAGCACUUGGAAAUCAAGAUGGCUAUGAUUCUUCAUCAUUGUGGCCGCCAAGCGAGACAUCCCAAAGCAAAGUGGUCGAAAGUCCAAUAUGUCUUCAUGGUCAUGCCUAAUAAAAGGACUUAUUUUACCUGCGACCCUCAGA